UCGUGGAGUGAUCUGUCUGCUUAAUUGCGUUUCACUAUUGGGUCUAUACAUACGCAUAUAUGUUGCGGCUUUGACCCCUCAGUAUCUCACUGAGUGCGUGUCUUACGCUUAGCUCAUUGUGCAUUAGACCCUGAAAGCAACGAACGUGACCGCAACCUCUUGUUGCUUUCAUUACACAAUCACUCGCAUAUUUAUAUGCGCGGUG
rnacentral:rRNA from 1 species